UUCAAAUCACCGGGGAUGAGAAGUCAUCUACAACUAAUGGCUUGCUUCAUGUUCUGAGAGAGUUGGCUCCCUGGAGACAUGAACAUAUUGGUUCAGGUUAGUUUCCUGUGACCAGUUAAACGUUAUAAAAGUUUGCAGUCUCAAAUUUAAUGAGAACAAUGGACUGUUUCAUUUCUUGGAUGAAAAUACUACCUUGGACACCUUUCAUCAAGGGAUAAACAACAUUCACCCCUUUAGAUGAAAACAAAACCUUGGACUAAGGCUAUAUAAAGUGCAUGAUUCAUCAUUUUACUGAUAAGCAACAUUGUACUCAGUAACUGGCGUUUUAGGUUUAUUCUUAGAAAAAAAGUACAAGGUGGUACAGUUGGUGACUUUCUUAUUUAUUAUUUAAUAGUGUUAUGCAACAAACUAGUUGGUUUUGUGAUGUUGGAUAAGAACCUUAUGUUUCAUUUAUCUUCGACCUAGUAGUUAAUUCUCUUGAAUUAGUUUUGAAGCCCCUAUGAGCUAUUUGCUAUUGCUAACAUGCAAAUGAUAACACUGGGUGGUUUCAUGUUUUAGCUACUAACUAAUCUUUGCGACACCUCUUAUUUUGGCAAUUAGUCUUGGCUAAAACUUCAGCUAGCUGCUGCACACACAUCUAUGUGAGAUGCAUGCUACAUUAAAGCACAGAGAAGCUUUCAGGCAUUCAGUUCACUUUUGAUGCUUUGUCACCACCAUUUCCAAAUUGAGCUCCAUCAGCCUUAAAAUCCCAAUUUCUGAUGUUUUCAUCCCUAUAAGCAGCAGGAAGUUCUAUUCAAGAUUACCCCCACAUAUACUCUGGAGAAAAGCGGCCUUUUUCAGCACUAGUAAGCUAUACCAUACAGGCAUGGAACAUUUACACAUUGAUUUUAUCAUAUUGGUUUUGAUCGAGCUUACUCCAGGGCAAUGAUUCUUAUUGCACAAGCCGCAACCCUCGUGCUCAACAUGAGAGUAGUACCUAUGCUAUGUCAACUUCAAGGUUAUCUCAAAUUCUAAGCUGUCACCAUUCAUCGUUGCAUAUGUCAGCAUAGAGUAACAGAUUCCUUCUCAAUUUGUAUCAUUUCUCAGCUAUGGUGGGUCGCCCCAUGCCAUCACUGGGUAUUUUCCUCCAUAUCAUCAU
rnacentral:lncRNA from 1 species